rnacentral:rRNA from 1 species
UACAGAGGUCCCAAGCGUUGUUCGGAUACACUGGGCGUAAAGGGUGCGUAGGUGGCCAGGUAAGUUCGGUGUGAAAGCUCGGAGCUUAACUCCGAAAUGUCAUUGAAUACUAUCUGGCUUGAGGGUCGGAGGGGAGACUGGAAUUCUCGGUGUAGCAGUGAAAUGCGUAGAUAUCGAGAGGAACACCAGUGGCGAAGGCGAGUCUCUGGACGACUCCUGACACUGAGGCACGAAAGCUAGGGGAGCAAACAGG